UUCCGAUUUCUGUCUUUGUGUACGCUCCUCAUCCCUCAGGGGGUCUCCUGCACUGGACUCAGACCUCCUCAGAGACUUCAGCCUCCCUGGCAGUGGAGAUCAGCUCCUACGUUCUGCUGGCUUCCCUCAGUGCCUCCCCUCUGUCUGCCACUGACCUGGGCUAGUCACUCUAGUAACUGAUCAAUGUAAACAUCUACCCUUUUAGUAAAUGGGGUAUUUUCUUUCAUUUUGGACUGAUUUACCUGUGAUCUGUUGGGUGUAGUCCUCCAGGCCCUGACUCUCUACUUCACAUGGCUGUUCAGUAGAGAGGGCACCAGCACAGUGCGAGUACAGUCUCCCAGUGGGGGACAGCGCCUCUUCAAUGUGAACCAAAACAACAAGCUUCUUUACCAAGAGAGGGCGCUGCAGGACACAGAAUGGAAGUGAAGGACAGUGCUUGUGCCUCAGUGCACAUCAGUGAAAACACAUCUCUCCUCCCAAUCCAGUGGCGCUCCACUACAACAUCCCUACUCCUACUGACAGCACAACACUCAGUAUCCAGGUGAAGACAGAGGUGGACUGCAACAUCAACUCUUUGAGGCCCAGAGUCACGCUGAAACUCCAGUCUCAGAGUGGUGCGUCACUUGAGUGUGUUGAGUCGCUGACGUGAUCUUCCUGUUUGGGUUGGCGCCCCCCCUUGGUUUGUGCCGUGGCGGAGAUCUUUGUGGGCUAUACUCGGCCUUGUCUCAGGAUGGUAAGUUGGUGGUUGAAGAUAUCCCUCUAGUGGUGUGGGGGCUGUGCUUUGGCAAAGUGGGUGGGGUUAUAUCCUGCCUGUUUGGCCCUGUCCGGGGGUAUCAUCGGAUGGGGCCACAGUGUCUCCUGACCCGUCCUGUCUAAGCCUCCAGUAUUUAUGCUGCAGUAGUUUAUGUGUCAGGGGACUAGGGUCAGUCUGUUAUAUCUGGAGUACUUCUCCUGUCUUAUCCGGUGUCCUGUGUGAAUUUAAGUAUACUCUCUCUAAUUCUCUUUUUCUUUCUCUCUCUCUCUCUCGGAGGAUCUGAGCCCUAGGACCAUGCCUCAGAACUACCUGGCAUGAUGACUCCUUGCUGUCCCCAGUCCACCUGGCCGUGCUGCUGCUCCAGUUUCAACUGUUCUGCCUGCGGCUAUGGAACCCUUACCUGUUCACCGGACGUGCUACCUGUCCCAGACCUGCUGUUUUCAACUCUCUAGAGACAGCAGGAGCGAUAGAGAUACUCUCAAUGAUCGGCUAUGAAAAGCCAACUGACAUUUACUCCUGAGGUUCUGACUUGUUGCACCCUCGACAACUACUGUGAUUAUUAUUAUUUGACCAUGCUGGUCAUUUAUGAACAUUUGAACAUCUUGGCGACGUUCUGUUAUAAUCUCCACCCGGCACAGCCAGAAGAGGACUGGCCACCCAUCAUAGCCUGGUUCCUCUCUAGGUUUCUUCCUAGGUUCCGGCCUUUCUAUGGAGUUUUUCCUAGCCACCGUGCUUCUACACCUGCAUUGCUUGCUGUUUGGGGUUUUAGGCUGGGUUUCUGUACAGCAUUUUGAGAUAUCAGCUGAUUUACCAUCACUAUUGCCUUUCAACCACACCCUGGACAUCAUACAGGAGCUCCCAGUACAAAAUCUAAAGCCAGCGGUGGUCAAGAUCUACGACUACUACCAUCCAAGUGACCAGGCAGAGACGGUCUUCCCUUGCAAAUAUAAGAAGAAUUACAUUCACAGAGGUCACACCUGCAACCCCUGAGAUAUAUUUUAAGCUCUAAAGUAAAAUAUGUAACUGGAAUUAAAGUUUUCCAUUAUAA